AUUGAACGCUGGCGGCAGGCCUAACACAUGCAAGUCGAGCGGAUGAAGAGAGCUUGCCCUCUAAUUCAGCGGCGGACGGGUGAGUAAUGCUUAGGAAUCUGCGUGGUAGUGGGGGACGACGAUUCGAAAGGAACGCUAAUACCGCAUACGUCCGACGGGAGAAAGGGGGGGAUCUUCGGACCUCACGCUAUCAUAUGAGCCUAGGUACGAUUAGCUAGUUCGUGAGGUAAUGGCUCACCAAGGCGACGAUCGUUAACUGGUCAGAGAGGAUGAUCAGUAAAACUGGAACUGAGAAACGGUCCAGACUCCUACGGGAGGCAGCAGUGGGGAAUAUUGGACAAUGGGCGAAAGCCUGAUCCAGCCAUGCCGCGUGUGUGAAGAAGGUCUUCGGAUUGUAAAGCACUUUAAGUUGGGAGGAAGGGCGGUAAGUUAAUACCUUGCUGUUUUGACGUUACCGACAGAAUAAGCACCGGCUAACUUCGUGCCAGCCGCCGCUGUAAUAC
rnacentral:rRNA from 1 species